AUGAUGAAAUUUUAUUUACGGACACAGAAUUUGAGUUUUGUGUAUAAUCUGCACAGGUCAUCCCCCGCCCCAUUGAAAAAUGUUAUAGCCAUUCGUAGCCUGGGGCCGGGCACCAACAGGCCAGACCUGGGCUGGCACCCUGCGGACGCAGCGCAGACGUCAGGGCAUUUAAUGCCCUCGUUACAGACCCAGAGGCAGGGGGACUUGCCAAGCGCACGACCGCAGCGGCAGAGGCUGGUCUGGGGCUGUCGGCGCACUCGGACGCACCCACUGCAUCUGUUUCCUGGGGUUCCCGGGGGUGGUGGGCCCCGGCAGCGGCUGUUAGAUCUGUGCAGCACCCUCUCUGUCCUCAGCAGCACCCUAGUGCUUUGGAGGAACGGCAAGUCUGACUCUGAGGGGUUCUGGGGGCUGUUGCCCACCUCAGAACCUGCCCCCGUGGGCCCCAGAGGCCUGCACCCGACCCAGACCCAGCACCGGCCCCCCAGCAGGUGCGCUGGCCCAGCAGGGGUGAGGGGCGGCCUCAUAGGACUGUCGGGGCCCUCCCUGGACAUGGGGAGGCAGGGGCUCUGGUUCCUCUGGGGUCGUGAAGCUGGAGCACCACGCAGGCCUCAGGGUGCUGCGGCCAGGGGCCCCCCUUCCAGGCAGCUGAAGGAGAAAAAGACGGUUGGGGCCAGAGGGGGUGGAAAGAUGGGGACACCUGCCUGCCCAGGGCUCCCAGCAAGCUCCGUGUGCUUUAAGCUGUUCUGGGUGGGGGUUGGUUCUCUGCACCCCCCCACCCCUGGGACAGCAGGACGUGCAGCGCGCACCCCGUGGGGACCCCAACUCGGACUGCCUCCCCGGCGCGGGGGGCGCCUUCCCACUCCCCCAGGGGCCUCCUCUCAAGGCCUCGAUCCGCCCCCAAUGCCUGCAGAGGGUGCCGGGGCCGCACACGGGAACCUGUGGCCCAACCAAGAUGUGCCCGAGGAACUGGCAGCCGCACUGGAAUAUUCCAGCGUCCCCGGAGGCUGUCAGAGACUGUGA
rnacentral:lncRNA from 1 species